AGAGUUUGAUCCUGGCUCAGGACGAACGCUGGCGGCGUGCUUAACACAUGCAAGUCGAACGGGGUCCAGUCUGUAGCAAUACAGAGGAAGACCUAGUGGCGAACGGGUGAGGAACACGUGAGAAAUCUGUCCCGAACUCUGGGAUAACAGUUGGAAACGACUGCUAAUACCGGAUGCCGUCAUUGGAUCGCAUGAUUCGAUGACGAAAGAAUUUCGGUUCGGGAGGAUCUCGCGGCCUAUCAGCUUGUUGGUGGGGUAAUGGCCUACCAAGGCAUCGACGGGUAGCUGGUCUGAGAGGAUGAUCAGCCACACUGGGACUGAGACACGGCCCAGACUCCUACGGGAGGCAGCAGUGGGGAAUCUUGCGCAAUGGGCGAAAGCCUGACGCAGCAACGCCGCGUGCGGGAAGAAGGCCUUCGGGUCGUAAACCGCUUUCAGCAGGAACGAAAAUGACGGUACCUGCAGAAGAAGGUGCGGCCAACUACGUGCCAGCAGCCGCGGUGACACGUAGGCACCAAGCGUUGUCCGGAUUCAUUGGGCGUAAAGAGCUCGUAGGCGGUUCAGCAAGUCGGGUGUGAAAACUCUGGGCUUAACCCAGAGCCUGCAUCCGAAACUGCUGUGACUUGAGUUCGGUAGGGGAGCGGGGAAUUCCUGGUGUAGCGGUGAAAUGCGUAGAUAUCAGGAGGAACACCGGUGGCGAAGGCGCCGCUCUGGGCCGACACUGACGCUGAGGAGCGAAAGCAUGGGUAGCAAACAGGAUUAGAUACCCUGGUAGUCCAUGCCGUAAACGUUGGGCACUAGGUGUGGGUUUCAACUAACGAGAUCCGCGCCGUCGCUAACGCAUUAAGUGCCCCGCCUGGGGAGUACGGUCGCAAGACUAAAACUCAAAGGAAUUGACGGGGGCCCGC
rnacentral:rRNA from 1 species